ACAUUGCUCAGCCACCACUGAGCUUCUUCUCAGUUUUGCCGAUGCCACAGGUACCAGAGCUUUCCAAGCCUCCCUGAGGGACACAGACAACUGGUGGUUUUCUGGUCGUGCACAGUACUCCCUUUUCAGCACGCUGCUCCUCUGAGCCUCCUGACUCCUUCCUUCUUCCACAGGUCCUGACCUCAGUACAGAGGACUUGUCCAUCCUUCAUGGAAGGUCUGCCCUGCCACCAUGAGGUCUGCGCAGGCCUGUGGAGAUGGAUGUCCCUCCUGUGCUGCUAGGAGGCUUUCUGGUCAACCUGCACUUCAGGACUCUCCACACCUUGAUAUAUACUUCUGCAAAAUACACUGGACGCCUUAAGACGCUGAGACCCGGCGACCUAGGCCCAUAAAUCCAUCACGAGGAACAGUCAGAGAUGGAAUCAGAGAUCCAAGUGAGGGGUCAGCGGUGACAUUUAUAAUGGCCAGACAUACAUGGCAGCCAUCUAUGUGCCUAGCAAUGGGACGUGCGGGGUCAGAAGUAGGACAACCCUUGGUGGAAAGUGGUACAGCCACAGACAAGGAGACAGUCAGCAGCCAGAGAAAGAGUUCUGCCGCCGUUAAUGGUCUCAUCGGCCGUGCUCUCCUCGUCUUCACGGUCGCGUCGCCGUCACCGUCCUUACCACGACCGCCGGCAUCUGCAGCGCCAUCGUCGUCACCGGCGCCCUCUCCACCAGCGCCUUCAUCAUCCUCAUCCUCAUGGUCACGCAUCGCCACGGCCAUUUAUUGAACGUCUGGGUGCCAGACCCCGCACUGGGCCCUCCGCACAGUCUAGCGGACCAUCCGCAUGAUCGAAAGUCAGCUCGGCUGUCUCUCUGAGCCUCGUGGGUUUGGGGAUGAGCAUUCAUUCCGUUCCUUCUGUGAUUCCACCCGGGACUGGCCACUUCCCGUGCUUUCCUCCUGGACUUCUGUGACCCUGCCUUCUCUGUGUCUUUGCAUUUCCACCCAGCAG